GAUGAACGCUGACAGAAUGCUUAACACAUGCAAGUCUUUCGCGAAGCUGUGCUUGCACAGCCUAGCCAAGGCGGACGGGUGAGUAACGCGUAAGGAACUUGCCCUGCAGUCAGGGAUAACAGACGGAAACGACUGAUAAGACCUGGUAAAGUCAGGCGGACUCAUGUCCAGCCUGAUGAAAAGUGAUGCUGCAGGAGAGCCUUGCGUCCUAUUAGCUUGUUGGUGGGGUAACGGCCCACCAAGGCGAUGAUAGGUAGCCGGCCUGAGAGGGUGGACGGCCACAAGGGGACGGAGAUACGGCCAUUACUACUAGGGGAGGCAGCAGUGGGGAAUAUUGGACAAUGGGGGCAACCCUGAUCCAGCAAUUCUGUGUGCACGAUGAAGGUUUUCGGAUUGUAAAGUGCUUGCAGCAGGGAAGAAAAAAAUGACGGUACCUGCAGAAGAAGCGACGGCUAAAUACGUG
rnacentral:rRNA from 1 species